AUAAAUAAAACCUCUUACCAUCAAAGUCUGCUUAUAAUGCGAUCACGUGGAGAAUCAGAAAUGAGAAAAUGGCGACAUAAAAUCCGUUAAAGUGUUAAAUCUAUAGAGGAGAGUGUGAGACUUUACACACGAUUCAAUGCUGUUUCAGCCGAUUUAUGCGUGUAGUCUUGGCCAAGGUGUGUGUGCGCGUGCGUGCGUGUUCAAUCCUGCUAUAGCUAAGCUGUAGGUUUUUAAAAACAUUUUAUUUCAUUUUAAAGAAAAGGAAUUUUUAUGAUUACAGCAGCUUCACUGCUACCAACUGGACUUUACAUCUGAUUACAGCUUCAAAUCCUCGGCUUCCUCCAACCUCAGCGUGCGAGGUUCUCUUUACCCUUUGACUUUAUUCAGCGCAGAUGUUUCAGGUUUUAUUUUAAUUUCCUUGGUUUACCCUCUUACUGUGGGGUGUGACUGAGUGAGUGUGGGAGCAGUUCGGCUCUGAGUCGCGCCUGUAUGACGCUUUUAUAACAUUACAGAAGGUGUGUUGAUGUACGUGUGUGUGUAUCGGAUCAUCUGCCCCAUGCUGGUGAUGUUUUACUGGAUAUUAAAUCAGUUUUUAAUGUCAGUCCAGAGAGGAGGGGUUUUUUUUUCCCCCUUCUCUUUUCCAAACAAUAACCGUAAACAUUAAAAUACGUGCUUUAAAUUUAUCGAUAAAUGAACACUUGCAGGUUAUAAACCUGAAUUCCUACAAAUGAAUACAUCACUCGGCUAAUGCAAUACAACUGAUGUUCUCGAACGCAAGUAGACUCGAGUUCAAUUCAAAUUCAAAACCAGUAAGUCCUGUAUCGGUAAAUAAAUUAAAACAAAUGAGAGAAACCACAGGUGUAUUGUCACCCCCCCCCCCAACGUUAAAAGUUCUUAUAACUUUAAUAUAUUAUAUAACAGUGUCAUGUUAUUUAACAGGUUGAAACAAUAACCCAGAACCACCCAAUUUCUCCCAGUAUGGUAUUGAUGAUGAUGAUUAUUAUAUUAUUAUUAUUAUUAAUAGAAUGACUCCAUAAACUGUACGUAACGUUAAGCUUGUUCCAUUCGGAGUAUUAUAAAAGUCUAUAAUCGGGAGAAUAGCUUAACGUGAAGAUGUGUGCUUUCAUAUUUAGUUUCUGGCUCAUUCUUUCUGAAAGUAGACGGCAGCUGUUACCAAUAAAGUGUAAGGAAUGUGGCUGGGUUCAUACGUUAAGCCGAUCCCGUGUUAUCGGAUCCCGUAGAGCCGGAAACCUGAAAGUUUGUUGUUUAUGUUCGUGACUAGACGAGUGUGAUUUUGUCACUUUUUAAAAUUUUUUUAUUUUUAUAAAGUCCCUCUUUUUUCCCCCGGAGACUCUGCGCUGUUCGUUAUAUAAUUGCACGGCCUCUCUGGACCUCUGCAUGUACAAUUCUUUCCUUCUGAGGAUCGCUGGUCGUGAUGGUGUGCAUGCUCGGGUGUGUGUGUGUGUGUGUGUGUGUGUGUGUGUGUGUGUGUGUGUGUACGACCCUGACAGCAGCUGAUGUUGAAUAUUUUUACGUCUGUAUUAGACAUUUCCUUUGCAAAUCUAUUGUUCGAUUUAACUGUAUAUGAAAUAAAAGAUGGUACACAUCCGUCAGUUUAUACAGACACCGCCAUCGUAUAGAUGGAAUUUUACUGCAGUUUUAUGAUCAGCUAUAUUUAAAUACAUAGAUAUUUAUCAGAGAUUCUAAAAAAAAAAAAAAAAAAAAAAGUAAGUGAAUUCUUUUCGUAGAAAUAUGAACUGUAUUUUAAUGCACUGAACAGAUUUGCUGUUUCGUAUCUUUGCUGUUUGCUGUUUCGUACCUUUUUGCGAAGCACUUCUGAGCCGCUGUAAAGCCCACGCUGAUGAUGGGAAAUUAAUGUAAAGGCUAUUAAAGGUCAUGUUCUGUAACUGCAUGAUGAGGUAAUAAAACGGAUUUGUCCUCGAACAUGUCGUCGUUGCUUAUGUUUUAAGAUCACAUUGGGAAUUUCUUGCAUUUUUAUUGUGAGUCACAUCAUUGGGCUUAGCUCAUCAAGAUGGGUCGAAACUUUUCGACUCUCAAGUGAUUCGUUGACGUUUUUGUGGUACUUUGACCUGUGAUUGUCCAUCUUAU
ensembl:lncRNA